CCGGGUUGGUUUUGGUAAGCCUCCUUGCCAAGGAGGAAAUCGCGAGUUCGAAUCUCGUCUUCCGUUCCA
rnacentral:tRNA from 1 species